rnacentral:rRNA from 1 species
UGAGGAAUAUUGGUCAAUGGCCGCAGGGCUGAACCAGCCAAGUCGCGUGAGGGAUGACGGUCCUAUGGAUUGUAAACCUCUUUUGUCAGGGAGCAAAGGGCGCCACGUGUGGCGUUUUGCGAGUACCUGAAGAAAAAGCAUCGGCUAACUCCGUGCCAGCAGCCGCGGUAAUACGGAGGAUGCGAGCGUUAUCCGGAUUUAUUGGGUUUAAAGGGUGCGCAGGCGGUCUGUUAAGUCAGCGGUCAAAGCCCGGGGCUCAACCCCGGCCCGCCGUUGAAACUGGCAGUCUCGAGUUGGAGAGAAGUAUGCGGAAUGCGCGGUGUAGCGGUGAAAUGCAUAGAUAUCGCGCAGAACUCCGAUUGCGAAGGCAGCUCACUGGACUGCAACUGACACUGAGGCUCGAAAGUGUGGGUAUCAAACAGG